AGCAGUUUGCCACGUUUAGGAGCUGGAGGAUUCACUUGCCAUUCCACAGAGUUCUUCUUCUUUUUUUUUUUUUUUAGACAAGGUCUUGCCCUGUAGCCCAGGGUAGAUUGAAGAGGGGCGAUUUUAGCUCCCUGCAACCUCUGCCUCCUGGGCUCAAGUGAUCCUCCCACCUCAGCCUCCCAAGUAGAGUAGCUGAGUAGUUGGGACUACAAACACACGCAGCCACACCCAGCUAAUUUUUGUAUUUUUUGUAUGGAUGGGAUUUCACAAUGUUGUGCAGGCUGGUCUCAAACUCCUGGACUCAAGCAAUCUACUUGCCUCAAAAGUGCUGGGAUUACAGACAUAUGUUAGCAGAGACAUAUUUGGACCCAACCUAUAUACUUUUUCUCUAUAAAGCAUUCAAAGAACAAUGUGACGAUUACAGUUGUGUGGGAUUUCACCCUUCCUUAACUAUAAAAAGAAGACUUCUUGGGCCAGGCCGGUGGCUCACGCCUGUAGUCCCAGCACUUUGGGAAGCCGAGGCGGAUGGAUCACGAGGUCAGGAGAUCGAGACCAGACUGGCCAACAUGGUGAAACCCCGUCUCUAACAAAAAUAGAAAAAUCAGCUGGGCAUGGUGGUGCAUGCCUGUAGUCCCAGCUACUUGGGAAGCUGAGGCAGGAGAAUUGCUUGAACCUGGGAGGUGGAGGUUGCAGUAAACCGAGAUCGUGCCACUGCACUCCAGCCUGGUGACAGAGCAAGAGUCCGUCUGAAAAAAAAAAAAGACUUCUUAAUAAAAAACAGGCAUACCUCAUUUUACUGCACUUCACUUUUUUUGUGCUUCACAGAUAUUGCUUUUUUUUUUUUUUUUUUUUUUUUUUACAAAUGGAAGGUUUGUGUGGUAACCCUUCAUUCAGCAAGUCCAUUGGUGCCAUUUAUCCAAGAGCAUGUGCUCACCUUGCGUCUCUAUGUUACAUUUUGGUAAUUCUUACAAUAUUUAAAAAUUUUCACUAUGAUUAUAUCUGUGAUGGUGGUCUGUGAUCAGUGAUCUUUGAUGUUCCUAUUGUAAUUGUUUUAGGGCACCACCAACUGCAUUCAUAUAGGACGGUGCACUUAAUUGGUAAAUACUGUGUGUAUUCUAACUGCUCCACCAAUCAGGUGUUGCCUCAUCUUUCUCCUGCUCCUUGGACUCUCAAUUCCCUCAGACACAACAGUGUUGAAAUUAGACCAAUUAAUAUCCCUACAAUGGCCUCUAAGUGUUGAAGUGAAAGAAAGAGUUUCAUGUUUCUCACUUUAAAUAAAAAGCUAGAUAUGAUUAAGCUUAGUGAGUGUAUUAGUCUGUUCUCAUGUUGCUAAUAGAGACAUACCUGAGACUGGGUAAUUUAUAAAGAAAAGAGGUUUAAUGGACUCACCACUCCACAUGAUUGGGGAGACCUCACAGUGAUGGUGAAAGACGAAGGAAGAGCAAAGAGACAUCUUACAUGGUGUCAGGCAGAGAGAGCUUGUGUAGGGGAACUCCCUUUUAUAAAACGAUCAGAUAUCAUGAGAUUUAUUCACUAUCAAGAGAACAGCAGGGGGAAGACCCAUCCCCAUGAUUCAACUGCCUCCCACUGGAUCCCUUCCAUAGCACGAGGGAAUUAUGGGAGCUACAAUUCAAGAUGAGGUUUGGGUGCAGACACAGACAGACCAUAUCAUUCUGCCCAUGGCCCCUCCCAAAUUUCAUGUCCUCACAUUUCAAAAUCCGUCAUGCCUUUCCAACAGUCCCCCAAAGUCUUAAGUCAUUUCAGCAUUAAUUCAAAAGUCCACAGUCCAAAGUCUCAUCGGAGACAAGCUAAGUCCCUUCUGCCUAUAAGCCAGUAAAAUCAAAAGCAAGUUAAUCACUUCAUACAUAGAAUGGGGGUACAGGCAUUGGGUAAAUACAGCCAUUUCAAAUGGGAGAAAUUGGCUAAAAUGAGGGGGCUAAAGACCCCAUGCAAGUCUAAAAUCCAGCAGGGCAGUCAAAUCUUAAAGCUCCAAAAUGUUCUCCUUCAACUUAAUGUCUCUCAUCCAGGUCACACUGAUGCAAGAGGUGGGUUCCCAUGAUCUUAGGUCCCCUGUGGCUUUGUAGGGUACAGCCUCCCUCCUGGCUGCUCUCACAGGGUGGCAUUGAGUGUCUGUGGCUGUUCCAGACACAUGAUGCAAGCUGUUGGUGGAUCCACCAUUCUGGGGUCUGGUGGAUGGUGGCCCUCUUCUCACAGCUCCACUAGGCAGUGCCCAGUGGACUCUGUGUGGAGGCUUCAACCCCACAUUUCCCUUCCAUACUGCCCUAGCAGAGGAUCUCCAUGAGGGUCCUGCCCCUGCAGCAAAUUUCUGCUUGGACAUCCAAGCAAUUUAUAUAUCCUCUGAAAUCUAGGCAGAGGUUCCUAAAUCUCAAUUUUUGACUUCUGUGCACCCACAGGCUCAACACCACAUGGAAACUGCCAAGGCUUGGGGCUUGCACCCUCUGAAGCCAUGGCCUGAGCUGCACCUUGGCCCCUUUUUGCCAUGGCUAGAGCGGGUGGGAUGCAGGGAACCAAGCUCCUAGGCUUCACACAGAAGGGGGACCCUGGGCCUGGCCCAUGAAACCAUUUUUUCCUCCUAGGACUCUGGGCCUGUGAAGGGAGGGGCUUCCGUGAAAGUCUCUGACAUGCUCUGGAGACAUUUUCCCCAUUGUCUUGCUGAUUAACAUUUGACUCCUCAUUACUUAUGCAAAUUUUUGCAGCCAGCUUAAAUAUCUCCUCAGAAAAUUGGUUUUUCUUUUCUAUUGCAUUAUCAGGCUACACAUUUUUCAAACUUUUAUGCUUUGUUUCCCUUUUAAAACUGAAUGCUUUUAAAAGCGCCCAAGUCAACUCUUGAACUAUUUGCUGCUUAGAAAUUUCUUCCACAAGAUACCCUUAAUAAUCUCCCUCAAGUUCAAAGUUCCAAAAAUCUCUAAGGCAGGGUCAAAAUGCUGCCAGUCUCUUUGCUAAAGCAUACAUAGCAGGAGUCACCUUUGCUCCAGUUCCCAACAAAUUUUUUGUCUCCAUCUGAGACCAACUCAGCCUGGAUUUCAUUGUCCAUAUCAUUAUUAGCGUUUUGGUCAAAGCCAUUCAACAAGUCUCUAGGAAUUUCCAAACUUUCCCACGUUUUCCUGUCUUCUUCUGAGCCUUCCAAACUGUUCCAACCUCUGCUUGUUAUCCAGUUCCAAAGUUGCUUCCACAUUUUUAGGUAUCUUUACAGCAGCCCGCCACUCUACUCCUACUAAUUUAGUGUAUUAAUCUGUUUUCAUGAUGCUGAUAAAAACAUACUUGAGACUUGGUAAUUUAUAAAGAAAAGGAGGUUUAAUGGACUCAUAGUUCCAUGUAGCCAGGGAGGCGUUACAAUCGUGGUGGAGGAUGAAAGGCACGUCUUACAUGGAGACAGGGCAGGGGCCUUGUGUAGGGGAACUCCCCUUUAUAAAACCACCAGAUCUUGUGAGCCUUAUUCACUAUCACAAGAACAGCAUGGGAAAGACCCGCCCCCAUGAUUCAAUUACUUCCCACUGGUUCCCUCUCACAGUGUGUGGUAAUUAUGGAAAUUAUAAUUUAAGAUGAGAUUUGGGUGGGGACACAGAUAAACUAUAUCAGUGAGGAAAGCAUGUUGAAAGCUGAGAGAGGUCAAAAGCUAGGCUUCUUG
rnacentral:lncRNA from 1 species